GACAGAAGUAAUAGAGGUCCAGGGCAGGCCCAUGGGGAUGAGGCCCAAUUCAAACCAAAUGAUGGAGGUCUGACCAUCAUGGUACUUAUUCCAUCAAACAUGGGCUCAGUGAAACCAGAAUAAAGAGACAAAGUUAUAGCUCUGCCUAGUUGAUGUUUAUGCAGCCGAGAAGAUUCUGGUACCAUGGUAUCCAUGAUGACUUAAUAGGCAAGACAGCUUAUCUUCCUUAAUAUAAAAAAAGCACUUUUUGUUCCUAAAAUGAUGGCUACAGUAAAAUGUUAAAGUGAAAUAGUGUGUGUGUGUGUGUGUGUGUGUGUGUGUGUGUGUGGCAGGGCUGUGAUGUGUGUGUACCCAGUCACGUCCAACUCUUUGUGGCCCCACACUGUCUUGCCAGGUUCUCUGUCCACGGGAUUUUCCAGGCAAGAAUAGUGGAGUAGGUCUCCAUUUCCUACUCCAGGGGAUCUUCCUGAUCCUGAGAUUGAACCCACGUCUCUUACGUCUCCUGAAAGGGCAGAGUUCUCAGAGUUGACGACGCAGCCAGGCAGUUUUCCCUCAGGUACCUGCCGCCAGAGCUGAGGCUGGGAUCAGCUGGAGUCUCACUCCGUCACGUGGCGGGUGCCUGGCAGGAGACUCAGAGGCUUGUUGGCUGGAACACCCGGGACACCGUGUGCAUCUCUCUCUGACUCUCUGUGGUCUCUCCAGCAGGGCGACCUCAGAGUAGAGGGACUUCUUCCAUGCUAAUUCAGGCCCCGGAGUGCAUUCUUGAGACAGUGCUACAGGAAAGUGUACAGGGUUUUCUAAGAGCCUCGGGGAUCAUGCAGCACCACUCUGGGAUCCUCUGUUGGUCAAAGCCACCCCCACAGUCCUCCAGGUUCAGGGGAGGGGCCUCAGACUCCACCUCUUGAUGAGGAAGUGGCAAGUCCUUCAAGAGCAUGUGGGACGGAAAUGUUGUUGCGUCCAUUCUUGGAAAACAUAACCUGCCACGGCCGCUGUUAAUGUUUUGCUGACUCUCCUCCUUGGCUACAGGGUGUUUUUAAGAUGGAUGAAUGAAGGACAUAUCCGUUAGGCAGUAGGCAUCUAAAUUCACAAAAUCCUGGACCUGGAGUGCAACUUAGGCAUUUUUGGAAUACAAGGGAACUGAGGUUCCUUCACUGGAGUCUGGGUUAAUAGAUCCCUCUGGGUUCGGAGGGAAAGCCAUCGAAGAUGGUUUGCAGCCUCUUCUCAGCCUUGGAGAAGUCUGAGCUUUGACACGCCAUCAAAUCCCUCUUGCAACUAACUCAAGAAUUGUAAAGGUGUGUAUUGGAUCCAAGACACACGAAAGCCCUGCUGAAAUGGCUUUGAGGUGACAAGGGCACGUACAUCUAUUUAAAUUGGUCAGGGGGGAAUCUGUGAUCCAUGAGUAACCUUACUUGAUGAGAUGCAGCCGUGUGCUAGAAAAUGGGUCCUAGUUGCACACCCCGAGGGUAUUUAUGUGAUAAACAACUAAAUAAAGUUUCCUUGACUUCCAGCUCUUUCUCACGAUGGUGCAUACCCACUGCCUUCUCUCUCAUGAUCGUCAUUCCAAGUGUGGAGUGACUGAGAUCUUUAGAAGGCAGGUCUGGGCACCACGAGAUCUCUGCCUGGCUGUCACUGAGUGUGGUUUGGCUGUCCUGUGUCCUUCUUGAUGUUUGCGUAAAGCUUAACUCUUUGUGCAUCCUGUGAGUUUGAUUGGCAACCUGAAUCCAAGACCGCUGCAGGUGAUCAAGCAGAGAAGGCAUUGCCGCGUCUGACAACGUGAAUUUUGGAAGAUCCCUCCAGGCACCCUCAGUUGGAAGCAACUGCUAUCAGUGGCCUCAGUUUGAAGAUGAGAAACUGAGUUUGAGAAGGCGUGCUGACCUGCCUAAAGUCUCACAGCUGCUUGUGGACAGAGUCAAGACUAGAACUGAAGUCUUCUGUGCACACGCUCUCUGGUUUUGCAUUGGCGUGCACUCCCCAAAACGUGUUUUGCACAGUGCUGGCCCCAUGUAUUGCUCUGUGAUGAACCGUGUUCUGUAUGACUGAGUUUAGUUUGGAGAAAUGCUGCGUACCUAGCCCCCUGGAGAUUUAUACUAUACUAAAGGCUCUGAGAAAACAUCUAGUUCAGAAAUCUUGCUCCAUUUAGCUCAAAGAUGCCCCAAAUUAUUUGAACAUGGGACUCUUCAUUUUUACAACUAUUAAACAUCUGUAUGAAUAGCAAAUUUGGUGAAACAAGCUAUGAGGAAACCUGGCACUGAGAAAGCUACACUGAAUAAAGGGAUUAAUGACAACUGUCCUCAAAGAUGCAACAACCAGAUUGUAG
ensembl:lncRNA